GACGAACGCUGGCGGCGUGCUUAACACAUGCCAGUCGAACGCUGAAGCUCAGCUUGCUGGGUGGAUGAGUGGCGAACGGGUGAGUAACACGUGAGUAACCUGCCCUCUUCUUUGGGAUAACGCCCGGAAACGGGUGCUAAUACUGGAUAUUCACUGAUUCUCGCAUGGGGGUUGGUGGAAAGGUUUUGUCUGGUGGGGGAUGGGCUGGCGGCCUAUCAGCUGGUGGGUGGGGGGAUGGCCAACCAAGGCUUGGACGGGUAGCCGGCCGGGGAGGGUGACCGGCAACAUAGGGAAAGAGAGACGGCCAAGACUCCGACGGGAGGCAGAAGUGGGGAAUAGUGAACAAUGGGCGGAAGCCUGAUGCAGGAACGCCGCGUGAGGGAUGACGGCCUUCGGGUUGUAAAACGCUUUCGCCUGUGAAGAAGCGGGAGUGACGGUAAUGGGUAAAGAAGCACCGGCUAACUACGUG
rnacentral:rRNA from 1 species